GAUGAACGCUGGCGGCGUGCCUAAUACAUGCAAGUCGAGCGAACAGACGAGGAGCUUGCUCCUCUGACGUUAGCGGCGGACGGGUGAGUAACACGUGGAUAACCCACCUAUAAGACUUGGAUAACUUCGGGAAACCGGAGCUAAUACUGGAUAAUAUAUUGAACCGCAUGGUUCAAUAGUGAAAUACGGUUUUUCUGUCACUUAUAGAUGGAUCCGCGCCGCAUUAGCUAGUUGGUAAGGUAACGGCUUACCAAGGCAACGAUGCGUAGCCGACCUGAGAGAGUGAUAGGCCACACGAGAGCGGAGACACGGUCCAGACUCCUACGGGAGGCAGCAGAAGGGAAUCUUCCGCAAUGGGCGAAAGCCUGACGGAGCAACGCCGCGUGAGUGAUGAAGGUCUUCGGAUCGUAAAACUCUGUUAUUAGGGAAGAACAAAUGUGUAAGUAACUAUGCACGUCUUGACGGUACCUAAUCAGAAAGCCACGGCUAACUACGUG
rnacentral:rRNA from 1 species